AGAAGCUGACAUGUUUAUAGAUCCAGACUAUGCUUAGAAAGAGUUGCCAAGAUCACCCCAAAGAUCUUCUAAUCAAAGAUGCUCUCACAGGAUGCAGAUGCCUGAAACGAAAUGAAUGAGAAAGAACGCCCUGUUCACCGAAACAACAUUAAUGAACUUGUCAACUAUGCAGGGUUUUAGAAGAAACAAGACGUAGAAAUCUUUCAAGCGAAGAUCAACUAUGCUAAAAUGAAGCACAAAUCCAGUGUGGUGGAAUUGGAUCGUUUGAAGGAAAAAUAUCUUAUGCCUGGAGACGUACGUGCGAAAGACAAAAUUUGCCGUUACGGCAGUAGACAGUUCUAGCUAAGAAAGCAGAGUUCAGAGCAGAAUUGAAGCAGAAAGCUGCCGACCAACAUAAACACCUCUCAGCGCAGCAAUACAAAACAAAAAAAGGUGGCACCCAAUCUAUUCACCCAACUCCUGACAGUACAUGGAAUCACCCCAGACAAUUACAGACUUCCUCUGGCGUUUGGUCUUCUCCCUGGAAAGCGGCAAGAACACUACACAAACCUACUAGAAGAACUGGAUCGCUUUGGACCUUUCCAUCCAGACACCGCCCUUUGCGAUUAUGAAGCUGGGCUACGGAACAGUGUCACUGCUGUCUGGCCCGGGACUACUCUACAUGGCUGCUACUUCCACUUCAAACAGGCUCUAUGGAGGAACUUCGCUCGCUCCGACCUUGUUCCGGAGUAUCAGGUGGUUGGAUCCGACAUCCGGAAAGCCUUCCAACGGAUCGGAGCUCUACCUUUCAUCCCUCCUGGUGACGUCCACUACGCAUGGCAGACCCUUAGAGUUAGACCUAUCCUCUCCGCAGAUAUGGAUGUCUUUACAUUAUACUUUGAGUCCACGUGGAUGGGAACACCAAACAGACCUGCUCGCUUCGAUCACCUGUCCUGGAACCAGUACGAUUGCUGUCUAACUGGUCUCCCACGCUCUUUGAACCUUGCAGAAGGAUGACAUAAUGGUUUCCGCAGCCUCGUCCAGUGUUCAAAUCCUACCAUCUGGAAAUUCCUUGAAGCCCUCAAACUAGAGCAAGGACUAACAGACCAGAAGAUCACGGAUAGGCUGAUGAGAAGACCUCCACCCCAGAGAGCUGCCAAGUGGAUAAGGUACGACUCCCUUCUGGAAUCCUUCAUGCAAGCCUACAAUAACCAGGAGUACGAAGUCAUUGAUUAUCUCUCUGCUGUUUUUGCUGCACUAUGAAUUCGACAUUUGAUUAUUGAUAUUAACGGUUUUAUGAUAUUGGUAUUUAGUUAUACUUUCGAUUGUACUAUAUUUCAACCUUACUGCUAG